AGCAGUAGCCGCGGUAAUACGAAGGGUGCAAGCGUUACUCGGAAUUACUGGGCGUAAAGCGUGCGUAGGUGGUGGUUUAAGUCCGUUGUGAAAGCCCUGGGCUCAACCUGGGAAUUGCAGUGGAUACUGGGUCACUAGAGUGUGGUAGAGGAUAGUGGAAUUUCCGGUGUAGCAGUGAAAUGCGUAGAGAUCGGAAGGAACAUCUGUGGCGAAGGCGACUAUCUGGGCCAACACUGACACUGAGGCACGAAAGCGUGGGGAGCAAACAGGAUUAGAUACCCGAGUAGUCCCUGUCUCUUAUAA
rnacentral:rRNA from 1 species